rnacentral:rRNA from 1 species
GACGAAGGAUGCAAGCGUUAUCCGGAUUCAUUGGGUUUAAAGGGAGCGUAGGCGGUCUUAUAAGUCAGUGGUGAAAUCUCCUCGCUUAACGAGGAAACUGCCAGUGAUACUGUAGGACUUGAGUAUAGUUGCUGUGGGCGGAAUAUGACAUGUAGUGGUGAAAUACGUAGAGAUGUCAUAGAACACCGAUUGCGAAGGCAGCGCACAAAACUAUAACUGACGCUGAGGCGCGAAAGUGCGGGGAUCAAACAGG